AGUGAACGCUGGCGGUAGGCCUAACACAUGCAAGUCGAACGGCAGCACAGUAAGAGCUUGCUCUUACGGGUGGCGAGUGGCGGACGGGUGAGGAAUACAUCGGAAUCUACUUUUUCGUGGGGGAUAACGUAGGGAAACUUACGCUAAUACCGCAUACGACCUACGGGUGAAAGCAGGGGAUCUUCGGACCUUGCGCGAUUGAAUGAGCCGAUGUCGGAUUAGCUAGUUGGCGGGGUAAAGGCCCACCAAGGCGACGAUCCGUAGCUGGUCUGAGAGGAUGAUCAGCCGCACUGGAACUGAGACACGGUCCAGACUCCUACGGGAGGCAGCAGUGGGGAAUAUUGGACAAUGGGCGCAAGCCUGAUCCAGCCAUACCGCGUGGGUGAAGAAGGCCUUCGGGUUGUAAAGCCCUUUUGUUGGGAAAGAAAAGCAGCAGGUUAAUACCCCGCUGUUCUGACGGAACCCAAAGAAUAAGCACCGGCUAACUUCGUG
rnacentral:rRNA from 1 species